AGGUAUGUUCAAUUUGUAAAGAUAUCCAUCAACCUCCACUCAGAACGAGCUAAGAAUCGUGGACAGCUUAUCAAGGACAAGGUUGAACUAGCUGGUGUCGACUUGACUGACCUGGGCAAGAAGCUGUGUGCCCUCAAGGCAUGGGCAUCCGCGGACACGAAGGUGCCCCGCGCCAAGGCUAAGAAAAAGACAUAGACUACGUGUUCGCAUGGCUCUUUGUACAUUCACAGUUGAGUGCCUCGUUUUAUGUGUGUUUGUUUAAAUCAUGUACACCCUCUGAUGGGAGUAUGAUAAUGUAGUCAUCUAGACGGCUGGCCUGUCCCCAGUGUUCCAAGUGCAUAUUGACGCUAACCUCCAAUGUUAUAUCCAGCAAGUAUCAGAUCUGCACUAUCGCACAUAGAACUGGUGUAUAUUUCUUUACUGUGUUGAUCACUACCCUACUAGCCACAGUCAUAUUUAUAUCAACAAUAACGUGGGCACCGCAUUAUUUUUUGUUUAGGAGCUGUCGGUAUGCCGGUAGCAUGGGUCACGCUAGUGCAAAAUAGGCUAGACUACAUGCAGCCAAGAACCAGGCACUAUUCCAUCCAAGAAAUAGUGGGAGUAGCUAUCCUGAUGCCUUGCAACAUGUCCAAACCACUUCAACUUGAUGCUUG